GCUGCAUAGUUAGAGGACAGAAGGUCACGGUGAGGAAGCCUUGCCUGGGCAGGUGGGGGGUAGGGACUGUCUUCCCUUCCCCCCAACUUUUCCUAGCUGCUGGCAACCUCUGGAGUUCUUAGUGGAUAGAUGUGCCCCUCUAGUUGUCCCUCCUCGCAUGAUGUCUACGUCAUACGUGUCCUGUGUUGGACAGGGUACACCCUUAUGACCUCAUCAUGAAGUCAUCUUCUGCAGAGACCAUUUCCAAAGGUCACAUUUGACCCGAGUCUCAUGUAGCCCAAGCUGACCUCAGAUUGACUUUGCCACCCAGGAUGGUCUUGAGUUCCUGAUCCCCUCUGUCUCUACCUCGAAAGUGCUGCCAUUAUAGGUAUGCAACACCAGACCCCCAAACUGUAAUAUAUUCCCACAUAUAAUUUAACGUUUAUAUAAAAUUAACAUCAAGUAUGAGAUGUCAUCUGCUGGGUCAUUUGUUUGACCCAGUCACUGAUUAACGGUGUCACCCUGCAUAAAGCAUACUCCAACCUGGCAUUGGAGGCUUGUUUUGUUCUCCACUGGGUUUCAUAGAAUAAUGCUUGGUGUGUAAUAAUUCUAGUAAAACUUUACUAAAUGGCUUAAUGAUUUCACCCAGUCCUCCCAACAACCUAUGGACUGAAGCAUUGUGACUCCUUGUUGAGGUACACAUGGUUGCCAGGGAAUAUGGGGUGCUGACUCGAUGCCAAAUGUGCAAGGCAGGCCAAAAGGCAGGAGGCAAGGCUGCCCCUGUCAGUGCCUGGCCCCUCAGCCUACAUCCUUCCCAACUCCACUGGGCUAUUCCUGUGCUGACCACUCCACGUGAAGCCCCAACAUGCUGACCAGGGACUCAUGCCGUCCUCUCAGGAACAUCAAGGGUGACAAUCCAGCGUAUGGACCUGGAGCUUGGUCUUGUUCAUCCUGUCAGUCAAACCAAGACAGAGGUGCCAAGGACCCCACAAGUUAGUGGGCUUGUCCAGUCUAGCUCCCCUUGACCCUUGUCAGACGUAAGUCCUCCAUCUCCAGCCUGUUCUUAUGACUCGGGCUGGUGAUCUUUGCCUUCCUUGGCAGUGGGGUCACAGGUCUCAGACUCUUACAAAGCCUGAUGCUUGCACCGGGUCCCAAACCCGAAUCAUCACUUCAGUUCCAGGAGAUAGCAAGACUGGGCUGAGACGGACAGCAAGCUCUGUCAGCUUCUCCCCUUCAUUUUCCAGUCAGCCUGGCUUGAGGGAAUCUCUGGGCUCUGGUCUGUGCAGCAGACCCAGGGCCUCUCCUUCUCAACACAGUUGCCUGACUUCUCUGCCAUACCCUGUUCUCUGAACAUCAUACCAGGCCCACCCUUCCGUCCUCAUGUGAAAUUUUACCAUUUCUCCCCGGAUCUGUGGGACCAAGCUUCCCCACUACCAGCCUCCCUGCUUCUGACACACUGUCCCCAUUGGUGCCUCAGGGAGCACUGGAGAGUACCCCUGCUCAGUAUGCCAGCAAAGGCUGGUCCUCUGGCCUCCUGAUGACUCACUAGAGAAAAAAAUAAUGGUUUGGAAGAUUAACACGGAGUAAAGGAAAAGAAAGGAUCCUUUGACCACUUUUCCUUGCUCUGAGGAUAAAUCCAAAUAGAGACUCCACCUGACAUCUGGCCCCUCUAGACAUUCCUGCCUUCCUCCCUGUUCCCCAUCGUCUUCCCAUCAUCAUCACUAUUCUAAAACACAGGUACCCCAAACACCUCCUUUAUCUCUCCAAUUCACCAUUUAGCAAACACAUACUCACCUCUCAAAACCCCAGGUACAUAUCACUUCCUCUAUGAAACAGCAAUAGCCACCCUGGGUGUCUGAGAUUACUAACCAUGGUUAUCAGGGUCACCAUAUCCGGAAUCAACUAAAACCCAAGCUGAGCACACAUAGGAGGGAUUUUCUUGAUCGGACAGUGUGAGAGGAAAAGACCCACCUGAAAUGCGCCCACAUAAACGACAUGGAAGAAGGAAGCUUCAUGCUUUUUGCCUGCUUGCCCUCCUUCUUGUUGACAAGUUUAUCUAUCUAUACUGCGGCUCAGGCUUCCCUUUGCUGGUAUUAGAACCUACUUCUUUGGGAUUCUAACAUAGCCUGGAGACCAGCAGCUCUCUAAGAAUUCCUUGAGGAUCCAGCAUCAGAUUGAGGCUGCCGAUACAUCAAGUCUUGCUGGACUGAACAACUUCCUGAUUCUUGGCCUUUCCAAUGAGAGACAGCCUUUUAUGGACUACCCAGACCACAGUCUGUAAGCCAUUCUAAUAAAUCCCUUCAUGUGUA